rnacentral:lncRNA from 1 species
AGGAGUCCCUUUUGACGCCGCGGUUCUACACGACGGAUUUCGAUGAAAUGGAGCAGCUCUUCAACACCGAGAUCAACAAGAACUUGAACAUGGCGGAGUUCGAGGCUCUGCUGCAGGAGUUCAAGACCGACUUCAACCAGACACAUUUCGUGAGGAAUAAGGAAUUCAAGGAGGCUGCUGACAAGCUGCAGGGGCCGUUGAGACAAAUUUUUGUCGAAUUCUUGGAGAGGUCUUGCACUGCUGAGUUCUCUGGUUUCCUUCUCUACAAGGAGCUCGGACGCAGGCUUAAGGUAUCUGUGUGUGUUUCAUGAAUUCUUGAUUGGUUUUUCUGUAUGAAUUGAUUCAAGUGUUUCUUGUGUUUUAUGGUUCUAGUGAUUUGGCUCAAUGUUGGAGCUAUUUAGUUUUAUGAUUGAGUUAAAGUCUUGUUUUUUAGUAGUGCUACUUGCUUAUGAUUAAUUUUCUCUGAUUGUGUUAGUGCAUUGAUCGCAGCGUGUUUCCCUAGUUGGUAGUGCUUGAUGUAGUUAUUGCAAACUGCUUACUACUUCAAUUUUGAUCUUUGAGGUCUACUUAUUUAGGUUUUGAUAAAUGUGAGAAGUUUACAACCUACAACUGCAUGUUUGUAUUUCUUGAAUUAUUGAUUGGUUUUGUUGUAUGAAUUGAUUCAAGUGUUUCUUUUGUUUUAUGAUUCUAAUGAUUUUUGCUCAAUGUUGGAGCUAGUUAGUGUUAUGAUUGAGUUAAAGUCCUUUUAUUUAUUUAUGCCAACCUUAAAUUUAAAGUCUUGCUUUUUAUUAGUGCUAAUUGUUUAUAAUUAGAUUUGUUUUAUCAUUUUAGUGCAUUGAUUGCAGUGUGUUCCCUAGUUGGUAGUGCUUGAUGUGGUAAUUGUAAACUGGUUUACCACAAUUUCGAGGUCUACUUAUUUAGGUUUUGAUAAACAUGAGAAAUUUACAACUGCAUGUAACAGAAAUCUUGUACUUAAUCACACCUUGUUAAGACAGCAUUGCUUGCUAAUUUUAGACAAUGGCCUAUCUUGAAAUAGCUGUUUCUUUCAAAUCAACUCAUUGUUGGCUGCUUUUGCAGAAAACUAACCCUAUGGUUGCCGAGAUUUUCUCUCUGAUGUCCAGAGACGAAGCGCGCCACGCAGGGUAAGUAAGACUCCCUUUUGACUUCCCAAGAGGCUGCCAUGGAUGCUGAUAAUUAAGGUUUUAUGCAGGUUCUUGAACAAAGGUUUGUCAGACUUCAAUUUGGCUCUGGACUUGGGGUUCCUCACAAAGGCCAGAAAAUACACUUUCUUCAAGCCUAAGUUCAUCUUCUAUGCAACAUACUUGUCUGAGAAGAUUGGAUACUGGAGAUACAUCACCAUAUACCGCCACCUCAAGGAGAACCCCG